GACGGAGGAUGCAAGCGUUAUCCGGAAUGAUUGGGCGUAAAGCGUCCGCAGGUGGCAGUUCAAGUCUGCUGUCAAAGACCGGGGCUUAACUUCGGAAAGGCAGUGGAAACUGAACAGCUAGAGUAUGGUAGGGGCAGAGGGAAUUCCUGGUGUAGCGGUGAAAUGCGUAGAUAUCAGGAAGAACAUCGGUGGCGAAGGCGCUCUGUUGGACCAUAACUGACACUCAGGGACGAAAGCUAGGGGAGCGAAUGGG
rnacentral:rRNA from 1 species